UGGGGAAUAUUGGACAAUGGGGGCAACCCUGAUCCAGCCAUGCCGCGUGUGUGAAGAAGGCCUUUUGGUUGUAAAGCACUUUAAGCAGGGAGGAGAGGCUAAUGGUUAAUACCCAUUAGAUUAGACGUUACCUGCAGAAUAAGCACCGGCUAACUCUGUGCCAGCAGCCGCGGUAAUACAGAGGGUGCGAGCGUUAAUCGGAAUUACUGGGCGUAAAGCGAGUGUAGGUGGCUCAUUAAGUCACAUGUGAAAUCCCCGGGCUUAACCUGGGAAAUGCAUGUGAUACUGGUGGUGCUAGAAUAUGUGAGAGGGAAGUAGAAUUCCAGGUGUAGCGGUGAAAUGCGUAGAGAUCUGGAGGAAUACCAAUGGCGAAGGCAGCUUCCUGGCAUAAUAUUGACACUGAGAUUCGAAAGCGUGGGUAGCAAACAGG
rnacentral:rRNA from 1 species